rnacentral:lncRNA from 1 species
GAACUUAUGAUUCUUAUUUAAUCAUACUUUAUUUAUAAGGUUGUAACAACUUUUUGUUAUCAUGGUAAUAAUAAAUAAGUUUUAAGCAUAUAUACAAAUUUUACAUCAACAACUGUUGUGUAUACAAUGUACAUAUAAAUUGAUGUAAACCUUUGAACAUUUUGGAUCAUAGGUUGCAGUCAACGUUUUUUUUUAAGCUUUCAUGUCCAGAACAAAAUGCCCCAAAUCUACAGAAUAGUAAAAAAUUAGCUUUUGAAAUGGAUCUAUAUAUAAACCUUAUAAAGGCCUUUUUGAUAACUUAUGAUACAUUUGUAAUUCAAAGCCAUGUUUUGAUUAAAGUGAACCAUGCCCUCUUUACAACCUAAGAUAUAUGAUCGACAUAUAUAUAUAUAAUUAUUCCAUAAAACAAAGAAAGGAAUCAUAACCAUUUUUCAAUAAUAAAUAGUGGAAUUUUCAGGAAUAAGAAAAUAUGUAAUUAACUAAAUUAUAUGUGCAAUAUUAACAAUGUGCAAUAGUUGAUAAGAAAAAUAUAGAUGUAAAAAUAUUCAACCAUGUUUAGUAAUAUACAGGGCCAUUCUAUAUAUUUGACCUUUUGAACUAUCGAAUAAAACCUCUUGUAAAUCCAAUAAUACAAGUCAUGGCUCAAAUCUAUCCUUUGUAAAAGGUUCAACAAUUGACAUUAUUUAAACAAAAAAAGUUUAUGGCCUGAGUGUUAUGGGGUAAACAAAUUAACAAAUGAUAUUCUACAAAUAUGGAAUUCUGUACAAAAAUAUAAAAUAAUUGUUAAGUCACAAGUUCAGCACCAAUUUUCUGGAUAUGUUCAUUUCACAACUUUAACACAAAAUUGUUAACACUUGCACAGAUACGUAUGACAAACAGUCACAUGCAUACUAUCAGAAUAAAAGGUCAGAAAAACAGCCAAUAUAAUAGGUUAACUGAACAACAUCAAAAAUGUAAAAUAAGAUUGAAAUAUACUUUAUGUUUAUGUGUCGACCCAAUAUACAAUUGUCAACAUAUUGUGAAACAAAAGAAAAUAAUUUGUUCCUUUGCAUUGCUUUCAAUAUGUCAUGUCAAUAUAUACAUCUGUUUAACUUGUGUAAGGAAAGACAAAUCAGGCUGUGGCAAU